GCUUGUCUCAAAGAUUAAGCCAUGCAUGUCUAAGUAUAAACAAAUUUAUAGUGAAACUGCGAAUGGCUCAUUAUAUCAGUUAUAGUUUAUUUGGCGAUAAAAACUACUUGGAUAACCGUAGUAAUUCUAGAGCUAAUACAUGCAUCAUCCCCCAUCUCGGGGUGUAUUUAUUAGAUAAAGCCAACGCUGGGUAAAACCAGUUUCCCUUGGUGAUUCAUAAUAAUUAAGCGGAUCGCAUGGCCUUGUGCUAGCGACAGUCCACUCGAUUUUCUGCCCUAUCAUGGUUGAGAUUGUAAGAUAGAGGCUUACAAUGCCUACAACGGGUAACGGGGAAUUAGGGUUCGAUUCCGGAGAGGGAGCCUGAGAAACGGCUACCACAUCCAAGGAAGGCAGCAGG
rnacentral:rRNA from 1 species